AAACCUCUUUGUGCUGCAACAUGUAUUUCUACUGGUAGUCACCAGACACAGACCCUUUCUGCCUCUCCCUGUACACACCAAAGAGCUAAAACUACAGACUGCAUUGUAUGAAGGAGGACUGCUGCCUACCUUAGGUCUAUGCAAAUCCCACCUCCUGGGCAGUAUUUUAAAACCAGAAGCUGAAGCUGGCAGUCUUCUAUCAGACCUUACAAUC
rnacentral:lncRNA from 1 species